CAUGCAAGUCGAACGGUAACAGGAAGCAGCUUGCUGCUUCGCUGACGAGUGGCGGACGGGUGAGUAAUGUCUGGGAAACUGCCUGAUGGAGGGGGAUAACUACUGGAAACGGUAGCUAAUACCGCAUAACGUCGCAAGACCAAAGAGGGGGACCUUCGGGCCUCUUGCCAUCGGAUGUGCCCAGAUGGGAUUAGCUAGUAGGUGGGGUAACGGCUCACCUAGGCGACGAUCCCUAGCUGGUCUGAGAGGAUGACCAGCCACACUGGAACUGAGACACGGUUCAGACUCCUACGGGAGGCAGCAGUGGGGAAUAUUGCACAAUGGGCGCAAGCCUGAUGCAGCCAUGCCGCGUGUAUGAAGAAGGCCUUCGGGUUGUAAAGUACUUUCAGCGGGGAGGAAGGCGAUAAGGUUAAUAACCUUGUCGAUUGACGUUACCCGCAGAAGAAGCACCGGCUAACUCCGUGCCAGCAGCCGCGGUAAUACGGAGGGUGCAAGCGUUAAUCGGAAUUACUGGGCGUAAAGCGCACGCAGGCGGUCUGUCAAGUCGGAUGUGAAAUCCCCGGGCUCAACCUGGGAACUGCAUUCGAAACUGGCAGGCUAGAGUCUUGUAGAGGGGGGUAGAAUUCCAGGUGUAGCGGUGAAAUGCGUAGAGAUCUGGAGGAAUACCGGUGGCGAAGGCGGCCCCCUGGACAAAGACUGACGCUCAGGUGCGAAAGCGUGGGGAGCAAACAGGAUUAGAUACCCCUGGUAGUCCACGCCGUAAACGAUGUCGACUUGGAGGUUGUGCCCUUGAGGCGUGGCUUCCGGAGCUAACGCGUU
rnacentral:rRNA from 1 species